CCCUAUGGGGUGCAGCAGGCGCGAAAACUCCGCAAUGCGCGAAAGCGUGACGGGGUCAUCCCGAGUGCCAUCCGCUGAAGGUGGCUUUUGUUCGGUGUAAGGAGCCGAAAGAAUAAGGGGAGGGCAAGUCUGGUGUCAGCCGCCGCGGUAAUACCAGCUCCCCGAGUGGUUGGGACGGUUAUUGGGUUUAAAGCGUCCGUAGCCUGUUGGAGAAGUUCUCCGUUAAAUCCAACGAUUCAAUCGUUGGGCCGCGGAGAUUACUCUUCAGCUUGGGGGCGGAGGAUGUCGACGGUAGUCCCGGGGUAGGGGCGAAAUCCUAUAAUCCCGGGAGGACCACCAGUGGCGAAGGCGGUCGACAAAUACGCGCCCGACGGUGAGGGACGAAAGCUGGGGGAGCGAACGGGAUUAGAUACCCCGGUAGUCCCAGCUGUAAACAAUGCAGGCUAGGUGUUAGGACGGCUACGGGCCGUUCUAGUGCCGCAGGGAAGCCGUUAAGUCUGCCACCUGGGAAGUACGGUCGCAAGGCUGAAAUCACUAGAGGUAUAGUAUUGGGAAAUUCUAUGUUUUCUGUAGGUAUAACUAUUCUAGAUAUAACAAAGAUUUAACUUUUCAAAAAUUUAGCGCGCGCUAGCAGCAAGUAAUCUCUAAAUCACUAGGAUGAUAAAUAUUUCUCGUACAGAAAUACGAUAAUACCAUGUCACUCCUGUGACAGCAUA
rnacentral:rRNA from 1 species